UACGUAGGGCGCAAGCGUUGUCCGGAAUUAUUGGGCGUAAAGAGCUCGUAGGCGGUCUGUUACGUCUGCUGUGAAAACCCAGGGCUUAACCCUGGGCUUGCAGUGGAUACGGGCAGACUAGAGGCAGGUAGGGGAGAGUGGAAUUCCCGGUGUAGCGGUGAAAUGCGCAGAUAUCGGGAGGAACACCGGUGGCGAAGGCGGUUCUCUGGGCCUGACCUGACGCUGAGGAGCGAAAGCCAGGGGAGCAAACGGG
rnacentral:rRNA from 1 species